UCUCUCUGAAUCUGCGAACGGCUCCGCAAACCAGUUGUAAACUAUUGCUAGCACGCUCAUCGUCUUCGGAUGGUGGGCUAUAAGGAUAACCCUGGUAAUUCUGAGGCUAAUACUCGACCGUAAAACUCGCUGGUCUGGGUAACUGGUAAGGCGAGGGACGUGCAAUUGAUCGCAGGAGAUGCCGGGAAAGGAUGCACGUUCUGACCACCAUACAAACAGUAUCCUGGAAGCUCGCAAGGGUAGAAGGGUGUCUGGGUGGCUCUAGCAUUGUGCUUCUGACCUAUCAACUAGAUGGCAGUGUAAGGGACAUGCCAUGGUUACAACGGGUACAGAGGAUAAGGGUUCGAUCCUGGAGAGUGGGCCUGAGAGAUU
rnacentral:rRNA from 1 species